GGUGAGUAACGCGUGGGAACCUGCCCAAUGGUAGGGAAUAACCGCGGGAAACUGCGGCUAAUACCCUAUGACCCCUUUGGGGGAAAGAUUUAUCGCCAUUGGAGGGGCCCGCGUCGGAUUAGGUAGUUGGUAGGGUAACGGCCUACCAAGCCUUCGAUCCGUAGCUGGUCUGAGAGGAUGAUCAGCCACACUGGGACUGAGAUACGGCCCAGACUCCUACGGGAGGCAGCAGUGGGGAAUAUUGGACAAUGGGGGCAACCCUGAUCCAGCCAUGCCGCGUGAGUGAUGAAGGCCUUCGGGUUGUAAAGCUCUUUUGGCGGGGACGAUGAUGACGGUACCCGCAGAAUAAGCCCCGGCUAACUUCGUGCCAGCAGCCGCGGUAAGACGAAGGGGGCUAGCGUUGUUCGGAAUUACUGGGCGUAAAGCGCGUGUAGGCGGUUAUCCAAGUCAGGUGUGAAAGCCUUGAGCUUAACUCAAGAAAUGCACUUGGUACUGGGUGACUAGAGGACCGGAGAGGAUAGUGGAAUUCCCAGUGUAGUGGUGAAAUACGUAGAGAUUGGGAAGAACACCAGUGGCGAAGGCGGCUAUCUGGACGGUUUCUGACGCUAAGACGCGAAAGCGUGGGGAGCAACAGGAUUAGAUACCCUGGUAGUCCACGCCGUAAACGAUGGGUGCUAGACGUUGGCGAGCUUGCUCGUCAGUGUCGCAGCUAACGCGUUAAGCACCCCGCCCUGGGGAGUACGGCCGCAAGGUUGAA
rnacentral:rRNA from 1 species